GGGGAUGCAUUGAUUCGACAGGAUUAUGUCUGGGUAGGAUGCAAGUAGUAGGCAUACUUUAAAUGCAAAACAAAAAUAAUCGGAAACGAUUUUAAUUUCUCUCCAGCUUUUGCUUAAUUAAGUAAAACGGAGCUUCCGCUUUUAACUUUUGCUCACGAGUUUUAAGUUGGGAGUCAUAAAGUGAGCUAUAUUAUAAAUUUGUUUGUGGUUUAUAAAGAAUAAUUAGCAAUCCUAGAAUAAUAAGAGAAGUUGGCAAUCUACAUUAUUAUUUGAAAUUAAAAACCAACUAAACUUGUAGAAGUUCUACUGGGAUGAAUCUUGGACAGGAGUUCGCUACUCCUCAUCUCCACCA
rnacentral:tmRNA from 1 species